GUAGGGUUGAUCAUGAUCAUGUGACAGACAGCUUUGGGAGAGAGCAGCUCUGGACGCAGAAACAUCAGGCGCAACUAAAGGAGUUUCCACCCCGCGAGCGCCUACAAGUGAACAUUGCCCCGUUUCCAAACCGUUAUUCAAGUGCUCUGAACGACAUCGACAGUCUGUGGAAAGUUCUGGGGAACAAGCUGUUUUUUUACAGCGUGGAUAAAGAUAGGUUUGGGGGCGAUAAAACUAUUGUCUGUAGAAGAGGAGAGACGCAGAAAUCUCAGCGGGCAUGCGGGAGUUUUUGGAGAUAUUUGACAGCAAACACUCUACAAACAAAUAAGAACAUUCGCGCAGAAUCGGGGGCUGUCGCGUUUUUCCGAAGUUUUACGCAUUCUUUAGGUUUUUGGUGUAAUAUUUUAAAAAUGGUUGGAGAAAUGGAAACGAAGGAGAAGCCUAAGCCGACUCCUGAUUAUCUGAUGCAGCUCAUGAACGACAAGAAACUGAUGAGCAGCCUGCCAAACUUCUGUGGUAUUUUCAACCAUCUCGAACGAUUGUUAGAUGAAGAAAUUGGACGGGUACGGAAGGACAUGUACAAUGACACUAUGAAUGGCAGCACAGAUAAAAGGACUUCCGAGCUCCCGGAUGCUGCGGGGCCCAUUGCUCAACUCCAAGAGAAACUCUAUGUGCCCGUCAAAGAAUACCCAGAUUUCAAUUUUGUGGGAAGAAUCCUGGGGCCCCGGGGCCUGACAGCCAAGCAACUGGAGGCAGAGACCGGUUGCAAGAUCAUGGUGCGAGGCAAAGGCUCCAUGAGAGACAAGAAGAAGGAAGAGCAAAACAGAGGAAAGCCCAACUGGGAACACCUGAACGAAGAACUGCACGUCCUCAUCACUGUGGAAGACUCUCAGAACCGUGCUGAGAUCAAACUCAAGAGAGCCGCCGAGGAGGUCAAGAAACUGCUAAUCCCUGCGGCCGAAGGUGAAGACAGCUUGAAAAAGAUGCAGCUGAUGGAGCUGGCCAUUCUCAACGGCACUUACAGAGACGCCAAUGUCAAGUCACCCUUAGCCUUCUCCCUGGCCGCCACAGCACAAGCUCCCCGUAUGAUCACCGGCCACUCCCCGGUGAUGCCUCAUGCGGCACUGCGUACCCCUGCCCCCGGCGCACCCACCCUCAUGCCACUCAUCCGACAGAUCCAGACCUCUGCCAUCAUGCCCACAGGCACACCCCACCACACCCUCUUACCCCAGACCCCCGAGUCAGGCAUCAUCUAUGCACCCUACGAUUACCAGUACACCUUCGCACCAACCUCCAUUCUUGAAUAUCCUAUUGACUCAAGUGGUGUUUUAGGUAUGGCUUUCCCGACAAAAGGCUAGUAAUGCUCAGGGGUUUAACACAGUCCUCAGCCCAUACGAGUGUUAAAAAUGCUUGGCUUUACAGCUGCCUUGGAACAAAAAAAAAGACAAAAGAGCAAACGAAGAAACUGAUUUUUAUAAGAAACAAAAGACUAAACAUCAUAACUACUCAUGUUUACACUGGUCUUAACUGUUCUGUUGACUUAUACAUAGAUUAAAAAUUGAUAUUUUCAGGUAAAUACUGAUAAUUAAGCCUUAUUACAUUCCUCUGUUUGAAAGGUAAUCUAUAUUUGUUUAGCUUGUAAUAUUUCUAUUAUUUUUACUUGGAACUGGAUCUUAGAUAUUUAGAGAGUGAUCAGUAUUAUUGCUAAUAUAACAUGCUUGUGAAAAUCUUCCUCCAUGAAAUAGCCUGUAGUGAAUUCAUAUUAUCUGAAGCAUCUGGUGUGUUGAGCGGAAUACAGGGAAUCUAUAGUCAAUGUAUAAAUUAAUCAGUGAAAGUUUAAUAGAAAUGCAGAAAUUGAGAAAUGGCUACAGCAUGUGAUGUGAUUUCACUAUAACAGGGCCCUGGAGAAACGGUCAAUUUUGCCUUGUAAUUUGGUCUUAUAAGCCUUGAUUGUGAAACAAUGUUGUGUGAAAUGUAGUUUUAAUGUAUUUUGAUGAUGAAUAAUCUGUUAAUUCUUGUUUUAUUGGCAAUGUUGCGCUUUGAGCAGGUGCAGUGACUACUAAAGUACGAAGGCAGGAUAUGCGCGUCCAUCCUUACCAAAGGGUAGUGACCGCAGAACGAGCCGCCACCGGCAACUAACCAAUGACCCUCUGAACUCUUCACCCAAUGAUGACCUGACCAUUGCCUGCCUGCUGACCAGUUCUCUGGCUCUCGUCCUUCGCUUCUAUGUUUUGGCGGCCUGCUGGUGAGCCCAGAAGCAGCUUUAAUUCGCUUAACACAGCCGAGAAGUCGUGAUGGCCCCACGCCACCACCUCCAGAACAGAAUUGCUCCCCUUCUCAAACUGAGGACCUCCUUGGUCAGGUGACCUGGGCUUCCCGGCCUGCACUGAAGUGUCAUAAAGCAAUAACGCAAAAAUCCUACUUUUAGUUUUUCACAUGCACACACUAAAUAAACACAAUUCUUUAUUGGUUUCUAAACAUUAAGCAUAAUGUUCUAUAUAACUCUCCAUGUUUGUGCACUGCAAUUCUAGAACCAUCCUGAAGAGUUUGUAAAAACAAACAAAAAAGCAAAACAGCAGUUUAUUUUAAAACUGAUUUAUUGGUCCAGAUGUCCAUAAGGGAUGUAAAAGCCAUGCUUGCCUACCAGCGUUUUCUUCAGAGAACUGUCGAAAAGCAUCCAGACACAUGAGCAAGUGUACAAACACUCAUCGUCAAUUAAUACCUUUUUGAUACGAGGGUGCUGCGCAGGAAAUGAAUUUAUAUUUUUUUUAGGUGAUCCUUUUUGUAUUCAAAAAACAAAGCAGUAUUGUCAAAAUGUGAUGAACAAACAAUGUUUAUUUCCUUACGACUAAUUUUAGAGACCAAAAUGGUGUCUUUAAAAAAAAAAAAACUAGUGCCUUAUUUUACACAAUAUCAUCAGUUAGGAACAAGUAUGAAUGUCCAUCAAUGUGUUAUAUGCCAACAUAUCAGGUAUUUCUGUUCAAUUCCUCUCUAUUCAUGAAAACAAGGUUAAACUCAAAAACUAAGUUUUUGAAAUGUGCAUUUUAGAAUUUUUCCUUACAAAUAAUGAUUUUUACCCACUUAUCGCACUACAUUAGUUAACAUCUUGAGUCAUUUAUGCUCACAAUCCGUUUGUAUUUGAUAAUGUACAGUAUGUGUACGAGCUCCCUAGUAUGUUUAGGGAUCCAUCACUACAUCUGUUACACAGCAAUGAAGCCUCCUCAAUAUAAAACUUAACACUUGUCAGUAUUCCCAUAUUUUUCCCUCUGCUUAUAUCUCAAAGAGCAUUUAUUCAGUUCACCAGGAUGAAUAUUAUAAAGGUUUGGGGUUAAUUAGUACAGAACUCAUUUUAUUCCUUUUGAAAAACUGAAGUGUGCUAAAGAAGCGUGCAGACAUGUCACAUUUAUCCAUACCUCGCUAUGCAAAUGAUUUUCAGUUUUAUUGAAAUGCCUGAAUAAAUUUCCUUCAGUUGGGCUUCCAGUUAAAAUGUCAGACCAUUUCAGUGCUGAGGAACAACAAAACAAAAAAAGUGUAUUAACAGAUUAUAAGUACAUUUUAUUAUUUGGUUACCAUAACUGGAUUUUGAGAAGAUACAUCUCCUUUUCUAAUAACAUUGGUUGUAUUCAUGCCGAGCAAAUGCAAUACUUUUUAGACGUUUGAGGUUGUGAUGCAGUUGCAUGUCAUUUUAUGUUUUAUUGUUAACCUGGAAAUUGCUAAAGGAAAACUCCUGCAAAUACAUUUGAUGAAUGGGAAUUGUUUUUACAAGGAUCUCUCACCCUGUCAGAUCUAGUAACUGGAGAUGUUUGUUAAUGUGUGUUUGGUUUUUAUUGGUUUCGUGUUUGCUUUCCAUGCAGUAUUACUAUAGACUGUGUCAAUAUGUGUGUGAGUGUGUGUUUAAUGGGUGAUUGUGUGAGUGAGUGUUUAUGUAAUGUAUAUGCCAAUGAACUGCAACUCUCCAUUUAAGCUUAUUUUUUGUUGUCAAUUUGUUUUUUUGCAAACCCAAGCAGCUCUCUGCAUUGGAAAAUAUACAGUCCUAUUUAUAACCAUUGUAACAUUUUAUAAUGUAUUUUUCUAUCAUAUUUUGUAUGUGAGAAAUAACAUUAAAUCACAUUUCCAGAUAUGCACAGUAUGCCUUAUUACAAAAAAAAAUUAUUGAUAUGAGAGACAUAUUUUUCCCAUGAUGAUAUAAUUCCAUAGGUGAUGGAAAAUUGAAAAACGUAUUCGAUGAACAAUAUAAUUUGGUUCCAGACUCACUCGGAGCAAGUUUUAAAGUGGAUACUACUUGCUGGGAUGUUUGGUUUGUCAUUGUUGCUUUGCCUCUGUGCCUUCUUAUGUAAAUUGUAAGCUAUUAACCAUUUCUAGUUACAUAAUUUGAUUAAUCGUUUCUUGCCGAUUGUACUAACAUUUGAUGAUUUCUAUUCAUUAACACCAACAAUAAUUUCUUUUGUCUGCUUUGAAUCCUAUAGAACAGGAUUUGUGUGAAAUUAAGCAAAAGAGUGUUUUACUGACUGAAAUAUGCUGGACUAAACUCUGUACUGAGAAGCAAUAGCAAAAUAUUAAAAUCAUAGUUUUAAAAAAAGAAA